rnacentral:rRNA from 1 species
GAGUUUGAUCGUGGCUCAGAUUGAACGCUGGCGGCAUGCCUUACACAUGCAAGUCGAACGGCAGCACGGGAGCUUGCUCCUGGUGGCGAGUGGCGAACGGGUGAGUAAUGCAUCGGAACGUAUCCUGGAGUGGGGGAUAACGUAGCGAAAGUUACGCUAAUACCGCAUAUUCUGUGAGCAGGAAAGCGGGGGACCUUCGGGCCUCGCGCUCUUGGAGCGGCCGAUGUCGGAUUAGCUAGUUGGUGAGGUAAAGGCUCACCAAGGCGACGAUCCGUAGCAGGUCUGAGAGGAUGAUCUGCCACACUGGAACUGAGACACGAUCCAGACUCCUACGGGAGGCAGCAGUGGGGAAUUUUGGACAAUGGGGGCAACCCUGAUCCAGCCAUGCCGCGUGAGUGAAGAAGGCCUUCGGUUGUAAG